rnacentral:tRNA from 1 species
GGCGUGGUGGCAGAGUGGUCUAAUGCGCAAGACUAGAAAUCUUGUCUCCUCGGAGGCGUCGGUUCAAAUCCGGCCCACGUCG